GACGGAGGGUGCUAGCGUUGUUCGGAAUCACUGGGCGUAAAGGGCGCGUAGGCGGCCUUGCAAGUCGGUUGGUGAAAGCCCGGGGCUCAACCCCGGAGGUGCGGCCGAGACUGCAGGGCUGGAGGCCGGAAGAGGAGGGUGGAGUACCCAGUGUAGAGGUGAAAUUCGUAGAUAUUGGGUGGAACACCGGUGGCGAAAGCGGCUCUCUGGUCCGGACCUGACGCUGAGGCGCGAAAGCGUGGGGAGCAAACAGG
rnacentral:rRNA from 1 species